GAUGCACGGCCCUGUGGUGUCUGCCCUGGACAAGCUGUCGAUGGACGCGCAUGACCAGGCUUUCUUCCGAGCGGUGACGCUCUUCUACAAGUCCGUGAUUUCCCGGCCGGCUCGCUUGUCGCUGAGCGGGUUCACCAGCAUCGACCGACCUCUCUUCGGCUCCAUCGUCUCCCUAUCAGUCACGUAUCUCGUCAUCAUGAUGCAGUUUCGCUCGGACACGUCUCAUCCUUCUUCACUGAUAAAUUAAGUGUU